rnacentral:lncRNA from 1 species
GCCUAAGAUAGCCUGAAGAGGGAGCAUUUUUCAAGGUGAGAAGUUGUACCUGGAAAGUUAAAUUAAAACCAGAAGUUGUUUGGUUGAGUGCCUUUGUGUGUUCAGGCAGUUAUGAUUAAAAAAACCAUAGACUGGGAGGCUUAUAAACAACUGAAAUUUAUUUCUCACAGUUCCAGAGACACAGAAGUCCAAGAUCAAGGCACCAGAAGAUUGUAUGUGGUGCUGUGACUGGAAGGUACUGAAGGAGCUUUCCUGUAUUCAUGGGUCAGGAAGAAAAGCAUCUGGAUUUCAAAGCUGCUUGUGAU